rfam:Bacillus sp. X1(2014), complete genome.
CAGUUAAGUGUAGCCGAUUCACUGAGCCAUCAGAAGUCAGCAGAGGUCAUAGUACGAAUUGGUCUAGAACAAUUCGGAAGGAC